rnacentral:rRNA from 1 species
CCUACGGGUGGCAGCAGUAGGGAAUAUUGCACAAUGGGCGCAAGCCUGAUGCAGCCAUGCCGCGUGUAUGAAGAAGGCCUUCGGGUUGUAAAGUACUUUCAGCGGGGAGGAAGGUGUUGUGGUUAAUAACCGCAGCAAUUAACGUUACCCGCAGAAGAAGCACCGGCUAACUCCGUGCCAGCAGCCGCGGUAAUACGGAGGGUGCAAGCGUUAAUCGGAAUUACUGGGCGUAAAGCGCACGCAGGCGGUCUGUCAAGUCGGAUGUGAAAUCCCCGGGCUCAACCUGGGAACUGCAUUCGAAACUGGCAGGCUAGAGUCUUGUAGAGGGGGGUAGAAUUCCAGGUGUAGCGGUGAAAUGCGUAGAGAUCUGGAGGAAUACCGGUGGCGAAGGCGGCCCCUUGGACAAAGACUGACGCUCAGGUGCGAAAGCGUGGGGAGCAAACAGGAUUAGAUACCCGCGUAGUC